UACGUAGGCAGCAAGCGUUGUUCGGAAUUACUGGGCGUAAAGAGUACGUAGGUGGUUUGCCAAGUCCGAUGUGAAAUCUCCUGGCUUAACUGGGAGGGUGCGUUAGAUACUGGCAGGCUUGAGUGUGGGAGAGGAGAGCGGAAUUCCUGGUGUAGCGGUGAAAUGCGUAGAUAUCUGGAGGAAUACCGGUGGCGAAGGCGGCAUCCUGGACCGGCAUUGACGCUGAGGAGCGAAAGCCAGGGGAGCAAACGGG
rnacentral:rRNA from 1 species